CGGAAGUUGUAAUAUUUCGCUCGUAUCUCAUUGGUCAGCGAAGUUGGCGACCUGCUGAAAAUAAAAUUUCCGCGAAAUGCGGUCAUUUUUACCUGCAGUGGCUGAGCAGCUUUUCCAAGAUAUUCAAAAAGCGUACCAGGAAGCGUCUCAAAUUCCAGAUGACCUGCUUAUAGCGCUGAGGUUUGUCUUCGGGCCUUGUGCGCUGCAGGCAUUGGACCUGGUUGACCAGCGUUCAGUCACCUGUCUGUCAUCUCCCAGUGGACGCAAAGCAUUCCAGGUAAUGGGAAGCUCUGGGUGUUUGUACACUUGCUUUGUGUCCUGUCACUACUGCCCGUGCCCGGCAUUCGCCUACAGCGUCCUCCGCCGAAACGAGGGCCUGCUGUGCAAACACAUUCUGGCUGUCUACCUGUGUCAGGCCAUGGGUGUGACUCAGCAGGAGAGUGUGUCUGAUCAGCAGAUGUCCACGCUGCUGAGCGGGACAGCAGCCCUGUGACUCCCAGCUCCUGCCCCAGUCUUUUAGAGGCUCGACUGGAACACGCAUCACAAUGCUGAUGAUCCCACCCAUGCAGAAGAGAAGCAAAGCAUCAGCUCGUGGAGGACUGACUGCACUAAUGGGGCAGAUGAGGAUCCCAGCUGAGACUGCGUCUGAGGUUGUCAGCUAAACUCCUAAGGCAAAGGACAUUCAUAUGCAUCCAACUGAACCAAAGCAACAGGGCUUUGUAUUAUGUAAGCCACUAAAUACAUGUGUACCAGAAGCUUGGAUGAUAAAGAAUCAUGUAAAUUGCAUUGAUUUGAAGUCAAAUUGGCUUGUCUACUUUAAGUAUGUUGUCACUUUGUUGAUUAAAAAAAGCAGCUGAAAAUGCUCUAUGCAGAUGUCAUACUUUUGUAAAGGGUACAAUCAGUUUCCCACUUCCUGAGCUUUUGUUUUGUUAACAUGGAAAUGAUAUGCAGCAGCACCGCAGGUGUGUUUUCCUAAACUACUAAUGUCUGGGUCUGUGUGACUAAAUCGGAUCAUGCUGUUUAUCCACUAGCUCCAAAAACCCUUCCACUGGCUCUUAGCCAUAGGGGUCACAAGAUAAUUUUGUGACCCCUGAGGAUAUGAGAGAUGAUUCAUGGGACAGGAAAAGCAUUUAUAUUCUUGUUUAUGUUUGUAGUUCCCCCCUUUUCUUCUAAUUUGUGAUUUGUAUGAGAGCCCACAUGGACUAGUGUGUCCCUCUGCCUGUGCACACAUUAACUUUGGAGGAUUCAUUAGUGCAGCGACAGAACACCUGCAAACGCUGGCAUUUAGAUGAAGCAGCAGCUCGAGAACGUCGGCUGUUAGGCUGCACAAAAGGUAUUAAUAAAGAAAACCUGAACUUC